rnacentral:rRNA from 1 species
GUGGGGAAUUUUGGACAAUGGGCGCAAGCCUGAUCCAGCAAUGCCGCGUGCAGGAAGAAGGCCUUCGGGUUGUAAACUGCUUUUGUACGGAACGAAACGGUCCGGGUUAAUACCCUGGGCUAAUGACGGUACCGUAAGAAUAAGCACCGGCUAACUACGUGCCAGCAGCCGCGGUAAUACGUAGGGUGCAAGCGUUAAUCGGAAUUACUGGGCGUAAAGCGUGCGCAGGCGGUUUUGUAAGACAGGCGUGAAAUCCCCGGGCUCAACCUGGGAAUUGGGCGUGGGACUGCAAGGCUGGAGUGCGGCAGAGGGGGAUGGAAUUCCGCGUGUAGCAGUGAAAUGCGUAGAUAUGCGGAGGAACACCGAUGGCGAAGGCAAUCCCCUGGGCCUGCACUGACGCUCAUGCACGAAAGCGUGGGGAGCAAACAGGAUUAGAUACCCCAGUAGUCC